ensembl:lncRNA
CUGCUGUAGCUGUAGUCUUCCAACCCGCAACCGCAGUCUCCUUGAGGGUUGGGGGUAGAGAAGACAGUGCCUGGUGGGCAGAGCUGAAAAUCAUUUACCUAGCCACAAGGACCUCACAGAAGUAAAGGAGUGCCCUCCCUGAGUCUAUACUAAUUCCCAAAAGGUUGCCAAUGGACUCACCACCUGGUCUGGCAAGCAGCUCCAGGAUGAGUGGCACAUCCCGUCACUGUGAAGCACUGAAAAUCGGAAGGUCAUAGCAGCCCAUGCACCAACCCAGCCAUUCUGGGUCAGUCAUGUCUAUGACAACUUCACACAACUGGCAGCCUACACCAAAGCCCAGUGGAAAUGGUCACUUAAGCGCUCUGGACGUUUGGGGACUGUCGGCCUUGUUUGCCAGGUCGAGCGCCUUCACAGCACCCACCGACCAGGUCACCAGGCAACGCCAGAGCCAUUCCAGAUUCUGGAAUCGCAGACAUCCAGGCAGCAUUGUUAAGGGGCGGCCGCCUCGCGCAAUUUGGCAAGUGAGCUUUAUAGGACCUUUGCUGUUUCCAACUGGAGUUGUUACUCAUGGCCUCAUCAUGGCAGACUGAACUCUUGGCGCAUCAUCUACACAGGGAACCUUCAAGGGAAAGGCCAUUUGGGUCAGGGUGCCUGUUUUAUAGCCCAGACCAUGAAGGCAAUGGGCUUCUGUGGUCUUUUCUCCUGCCCUAUAGUCUCCAGGUUUUUGGACUCUUUGAAAAGCACAAUGAACUCAUUAAAAUCACCCUGCUCAAACUUCUAAGAGGAAACCGGAACCCCAUGUGGGUAUAGAUGAUACCUGGAGAAAUCCGUACUCAGAACAGCCGCCCUUACAGGCCCUUGAGCUCCCACCACACCUAUGAGCCCAGGUUAGUCCUUACCUCACUCUUCAGGGAAAAGCAAAUGGCUUCCAGGGGCAGCACUCCAGCAACUCCCCGAUCCCUUUCUUACUCAACUUUACCUGCAUCCUGGUCACUAGAGGGCUGUGCCUCACCUUCUGCAGAGAUGCCCAGCAAUACCCACCAGGUCCCCAGGUUUCUUGCACCAUGAUCGCUGUGUUCUGAUAGGCCUGGGAGACCUGUUAGACUUGAAAUACGGGCAAUUGCAGGAGGAGAGGUCCCUAGCAAGCUGAAGAAUGCACCCAUGACUGUUGCAGUGCAACUAAAGGACCCAAUUUGGCUGAAGUACAUUUGGCUACUUUAGGAGCCGUGGUGAUGGACCAUCAGCUGGCCUUGGACUUCCUGUUAGUCAAACAGGGCAGAGUUUUUGGUCUUGUAAAAUCCUCCCAUUGCAUGUGGAUCGACUCCUCCAGAAAAAUCGCCCUCGGUACCCACCAUAUGGUAAGUAGAGUAAAAACAGCUCAUUCGAUGCCUUCGCUGCAGACAGCAGGAACAUCUCGCUAGGGCCCAGGACUGUUAACAUCCGUCUUUUCUCCUGGAUUUUCCCCAGGCAAAUGGACAGGAUUCCUGCAAGGAUUCUUGGGAGUUAUUUUAAUUAUUGUGCUUGCUUGGAUUUUGUUUAGCUUACUCUAUGGACGAGGUGGUGCGUGGUGGUGACCAGAGAGGUGAUUGUGUUGAAAUUGUCUCAUUCUGGUCCCCUUGAUUACCAUCCCCCUUCUGAUCAGUGCAGAAGUUCAGGAAAUAAAACUGCAGAGGGAAACCUGGAAGUCACAAAUUGUUCCAAAGAUCAAAGGAGUAAAUUUUACUAAUUGUAUUAUUACAAGAUAUAUCACUCAAUCGUGUAUUAACAAAAACUUACCUUCUGGUAAUAUGUGCUUAAUCAAGAAAAGCUAUCUAGGCUCCAUUUGUCAAAGUUCGGGUCCUACCAUACAUAAAUUCCAGACCAAAUCCAGACCUCCCCAGCUCCAGACCAGCAGAACAUCAAAAAGGGGUGGAUGGCCUUUUAAUGAUUUGGAUAUGCUAAUGAUCUACCACCCCAGGUUGUGGAGAUAGGAGUUGAUCUGUUUCCCCAAACAACUCCACAAAACCAUCUCAAACUGCUGCCUUUCCCUCCAGUCCUCUCUUGCCUCCAUCUGGGUCCAGGCCAAGUGCUCCCAACUCGAAUCCAUGGUUAGGCGAGUGAUACUCUACCUCCUCUUCAGUCUCCUCUUCCCCAACCCUACCCGCUUUCCUUUUCCUCUCUAUUCCCUCUGCCCCUGUCACACUUUUCUUUGCUGGUCUUUGCCUUUAUGGGUUUUUGCCUCCAUAUUCUCUGUGCUCAAUUAAAAUGUGAUUGCCAGUUUGUUUUCUGGGGCCAGUUGUGGUGUCUCCUGGUAAGUACUGAAAGAACCAGGUGUGCCUAUUCCCAUUUCAUAAUUUCACCAAUUCAUUAUCACUGGGAGAACUUAACAACAGCAGCAGCAGCCAAAUACAGCUAUCAUCUUUUUAAAAAAAUGUAUUUAUUUAAAACUUUAAUAUAAAAUAGAAAAACAAAAAAGAAAAAAUUGGCAUGUGCACAGAGAACACAAGAAGAUUCAAAAUAGGAAACAAUAAUUUUCCAUUUCAAGAAAGCGUAUACAAUAAAUACUACAUCAUGUAUUCAUUCAGAACUGGCCAUCUUUGCUUUCUUCUCGAUUUUCUUUUGUUCUCUGCUGCACUUUUUAUUUUAAUAUUUUUCCCCUUCCCACCCCUACUAACUCCAAGCAAACUAUAUAUAGUUAAGCAUGGAUAUAUUUAUGCAUACAUACAUACAUACAUUGAUACAUCUAUACAAACACACAUGCAUAUACACAUAUACCUGCAUGCACACAUGUUAACACGCAUACAUACCAACAUAUACAUAUACCUAUAAUACACACACAUAUACAUUCAUUCUUAUAUGCAAACAUAUAUACACAUGUGCAUAUAUGCAUGUACACAUGUGCACGUAUGCACAAACAUAUAGUACACAUACACACAAUGCAUGCAUACAUACAUAUAUAUGCAAUACAUGCAUCACAUGUACAUAUACAUAAAUAUCUAUAACCAUAUACAUAUAUACAAAUCUACACUCAUACACACUUAUCUAAGGUUGUACUACAUUUGUCUGUUCUGUUUCUCUGAAGGUGAAUAAGAUCAUCCUUUUUAGUCCCAAGUCUUUGUGUUUUUAUAAAUCCACCAACUCAUCAUUUCCUACACCACAGCAAUAUUCCAACCUUCUACUAUCUAGUUGUUUUAAAUAGUCUAAAACAAUAUUAAUACAGCUGACAUAUAAUGUAGACUUUGUAUUUUUCUUUUUUAAAUUGAAUCUAAUUUAGCUUUAACUUUGUUCGAGAUCAUCGAUUACCAUGCCUACUUUUUUCCUAAUACAUUCUACUCCAGAUCAUUAUAAUGAUGUUUGUAUAUAUGUCUUUGUUUCCUAUCCCUGCUUGAAUGAAAAGAUCCGAGAAGAGACUCCCAAAACAAAAGCUUUGUAGAUGUGGGAAUUGGAUAAAUAUUGCACAUUGCACAUAUUUUCAAACCAACCUGAAAUCAGGUAUGCUGAUUUAUAAAUUUGCUUUUUUUGUUUUUAAAAUUUUUUUUGAUCUAUGAGAUGACUCUCUGGGAAGAAUAGGAAGGAUUCUGUGGUGAUGUCAAAAGGAAUCAAUUAAAAAGUUGUUUUAAUAAAAGCAUUUUUAAUGAAAAGGAUCAAUAGCAUCUAUUUAAAGCUAUCAGCAGGUAUCAGAUGUAAUGGGGAUAAACAAGAAACAUCCCCAAUAAGACUGAGGUGAAACAAAGUUGCCCA